rnacentral:tRNA from 1 species
UCCCCAGUAGUCUAGUGUUUAAGACUCUGUGCUUCUACUGCAGGGGCACAGGUUUGACCCUGGUCAGGAGAG